rnacentral:rRNA from 1 species
AGUGAACGCUGGCGGUAGGCCUAACACAUGCAAGUCGAACGGCAGCACAGUAAGAGCUUGCUCUUACGGGUGGCGAGUGGCGGACGGGUGAGGAAUACAUCGGAAUCUACUUUUUCGUGGGGGCUAACGUAGGGAAACUUACGCUAAUACAGCAUACGACCUACGGGUGAAAGCAGGGGAUCUUCGGACCUUGCGCGAGUGAAUGAGCCGAUGUUGGAUUAGCUAGUUGGCGGGGUAAAGGCCCACCAAGGCGACGAUCCGUAGCUGGUCUGAGAGGAUGAUCAGCCACACUGGAACUGAGAAACGGUCCAGACUCCUACGGGAGGCAGCAGCGGGGAAUAUUAGACAAUGGGCGCAAGCCUGAUCCAGCCAUACCGCGUGGGUGAUGAAGGCCUUCGGGUUGUAAAGCCCUUUUGUUGGGAAAGAAAAGCAGCAGGUUAAUACCCCGCUGUUCUGACGGUACCCAAAGAAUAAGCACCGGCUAACUUCGUG